GCCGGGCUAGCUCAAUCGGUAGAGCGUGAGACUCUUAGUCUUACGGCAUCUCAAGGUUGCGGGUUCGACCCCCGCGUUCGGCU
rnacentral:tRNA from 1 species